UACGUAGGGGGCGAGCGUUGUCCGAAGUUACUGGGCGUAAAGCGCGCGUAGGCGGCUUCUUAAGUCUGGGGUGAAAGGUUCAGCGCUCAACGUGAACAGUGCCUUGGAUACUGGGGAGCUUGAGUUCGGGAGGGGGCAGUGGAAUUCCGGGUGUAGCGGUGAAAUGCGUAGAUAUCCGGAGGAACACCGGUGGCGAAGGCGGGUCUCUGGGCAGUAACUGACGCUGAGGAGCGAAAGCGUGGGGAGCGAACAGG
rnacentral:rRNA from 1 species